AUUCGAAGAGAAAAAGAUAAAAAGAUAAACAAAUAUCAGUGUUCCUUUACAGCUUUGGACGUUCAGUGCUAAAAAACAUGCUCAAAUUCAUGGUCUUUCUUCUGGUCAUCGGCGUUGCUGUAGCUGGGGUUAUCUACGAAGAGAAAGAAUACCCACAAUACCAUUAUGUACAGCCAGUAAAAGUAGUGACAUAUCCUGUGCAAACUGUCAAGGUUCUGAGUAUUCCACAGAAAUAUGUUGUAUCACAUGGAUAUUCAUGUGACGGUUAUGAUUGCUAGCAGUUUCCUUGAUCUGGGACAAAAACGACUUAGAACAUUUCAUUUCGUUAACAUGGAGAACAAAUUUCAUUUUUAUUUUUUGUUGGAAAUACAAUUCACAGAAUUGUUCUAAUAAAUCUUUCAUGCUAUUGUCUGAA